AUUGAACGCUGGCGGCAGGCCUAACACAUGCAAGUCGAGCGGAUGAUGGGAGCUUGCUCCCGGAUUCAGCGGCGGACGGGUGAGUAAUGCCUAGGAAUCUGCCUGGUAGUGGGGGACAACGUUUCGAAAGGAACGCUAAUACCGCAUACGUCCUACGGGAGAAAGCAGGGGACCUUCGGGCCUUGCGCUAUCAGAUGAGCCUAGGUCGGAUUAGCUAGUUGGUGGGGUAAAGGCCUACCAAGGCGACGAUCCGUAACUGGUCUGAGAGGAUGAUCAGUCACACUGGAACUGAGACACGGUCCGGACUCCUACGGGAGGCAGCAGUGGGGAAUAUUGGACAAUGGGCGAAAGCCUGAUCCAGCCAUGCCGCGUGUGUGAAGAAGGUCUUCGGAUUGUAAAGCACUUUAAGUUGGGAGGAAGGGCAGUAAGUUAAUACCUUGCUGUUUUGACGUUACCAACAGAAUAAGCACCGGCUAACUUCGUGCCAGCCGCCGCGGUAAUAC
rnacentral:rRNA from 1 species